GAUGAACGCUGGCGGCGUGCCUAAUACAUGCAAGUCGAGCGAACAGACGAGGAGCUUGCUCCUCUGACGUUAGCGGCGGACGGGUGAGUAACACGUGGAUAACCUACCUAUAAGACUGGGAUAACUUCGGGAAACCGGAGCUAAUACCGGAUAAUAUAUUGAACCGCAUGGUUCAAUAGUGAAAGACGGUUUUGCUGUCACUUAUAGAUGGAUCCGCACCGCAUUAGCUAGUUGGUAAGGUAACGGCUUACCAAGGCGACGAUGCGUAGCCGACCUGAGCGGGUGAUCGGCUACACUGGAACUGAGACUCGGUCCAGACUCCUACGGUGGGCAGCAGUAGGGAAUCUUACGCGAUGGGCGAGAGCCUGACGGAGCAACGCCGCGUGAGUGAUGAAGGUCUUCGGAUCGUAAAACUCUGUUAGUAGGGAAGAACAAAUGUGUAAGUAACUAUGCACGUCUUGACGGUACCUAAUCAGAAAGCCACGGCUAACUACGUG
rnacentral:rRNA from 1 species